AUUGAACGCUGGCGGCAUGCUUUACACAUGCAAGUCGAACGGUAACAGGCCUUCGGGUGCUGACGAGUGGCGAACGGGUGAGUAAUGCAUCGGAACGUGCCCAAUCGUGGGGGAUAACGUAGCGAAAGUUACGCUAAUACCGCAUAAGCCCUGAGGGGGAAAGUGGGGGACCGCAAGGCCUCACGCGAAUGGAGCGGCCGAUGUCAGAUUAGCUAGUUGGUGGGGGUAAAGGCCCACCAAGGCGACGAUCUGUAGCGGGUCUGAGAGGAUGAUCCGCCACACUGGGACUGAGACACGGCCCAGACUCCUACGGGAGGCAGCAGUGGGGAAUUUUGGACAAUGGGCGCAAGCCUGAUCCAGCCAUGCCGCGUGCGGGACGAAGGCC
rnacentral:rRNA from 1 species